rnacentral:lncRNA from 1 species
GUGAGCCCUUUGGGUGCUGCAUAGAGUUACAUUAGAAGUGCCUUUCCAAGAAGGCUCACGGUCAUUGGCCACAGAAAUUACAUCAAAUCACGUUAUAUGUAGAGUAGCUUUGAUUGGACUGAUCAUGUCAACGUCUUACUUUCACAAUCUUAGCUUGCAGUCAUCAUUAUGAAUCAAGUCUACUGGCAAAUCCUUUUUAAUCCUUGUCAUAUGAAGAGAAAUAAUGAAGAGAAAAUAUAGAUAAAACGUAUCGGUGCUCAUCGGCCAUUGGACAUAAACAUUACACAACAAUUUGGAGAUCGCAAAUUCAACAAUGAGUGGUUUGUAAGGAAUCGGUGACAGUGGCUAACUGCAAGCAUUGCAACUGGGAAGUCGGGAAUAAUACAUUUUGAACGGUCAUUCAACUCGGAAUUGUAAAUCCGGCAUAUUUCUCUUUGAUGACAAAAUUUGCCCACGAAGGACCGGUGCGCCACUUCCUGUUCAAGCACGUCACAACAACGUUGUAUGCAGACUCAUUGGGUUCCUGAUCAUAGACAGACUCCCUCGGUUCCGGGUCGCAGGCAGACUCCCUCGGUUCCGGGUCAUAGGCGGACUGCACACUGGUGCCGGAUACUCUGGACUGCACACUGGUGCCGGAUACUCUGGACUGCACACUGGUGCCGGAUACUCUGGACUGCACACUGGUGCCGAGCUCUUGAGGCUGGGCUGACGCACUGGACGCCUGAUGCGUGGGGCUGGUAGAGGAAAUACCAGGCUGGAUACACGCACCCCAGGACUAGUGCGAGGAGCGGGAACGGGCUGAAUAGGACUAGGCUGACUAAUGGGAAGCUUGGUCCGGGUUGCUGGUACUGGUCGUGCCAGACUGGAGGUCCUCACUUCCGGGUUAGCACGAGAGGCGGGAACCGGAAAGACUGGGCCAUGGAGGCGCACAGGUGGCCUUGACCGCACCGCCUGCAGAACCCGUCCUGGCUGGAUGGAACUAGCAGCCCUGUACAAGCGGGGUGCUGGUACAGGGCGAACUGGGCUGUGCAGGGGCCUGAUGGUUGCCGUGCGUAGAGCAGGAGUAGGGUAGCCUGGACCUAGGAGGCGUACCGGCGACCAGACGCGCUGCGCAG